AAAAGAACCUGAAACCGUGUACGUACAAGCAGUGGGAGCACAGAGCAAUCUGUGUGACUGCGUACCUUUUGUAUAAUGGGUCAGCGACUUAUAUUCUGUAGCAAGGUUAACCGAAUAGGGGAGCCGAAGGGAAACCGAGUCUUAACUGGGCGUUAAGUUGCAGGGUAUAGACCCGAAACCCGGUGAUCUAGCCAUGGGCAGGUUGAAGGUUGGGUAACACUAACUGGAGGACCGAACCGACUAAUGUUGAAAAAUUAGCGGAUGACUUGUGGCUGGGGGUGAAAGGCCAAUCAAACCGGGAGAUAGCUGGUUCUCCCCGAAAGCUAUUUAGGUAGCGCCUCGUGAAUUCAUCUCCGGGGGUAGAGCACUGUUUCGGCAAGGGGGUCAUCCCGACUUACCAACCCGAUGCAAACUGCGAAUACCGGAGAAUGUUAUCACGGGAGACACACGGCGGGUGCUAACGUCCGUCGUGAAGAGGGAAACAACCCAGACCGCCAGCUAAGGUCCCAAAGUCAUGGUUAAGUGGGAAACGAUGUGGGAAGGCCCAGACAGCCAGGAUGUUGGCUUAGAAGCAGCCAUCAUUUAAAGAAAGCGUAAUAGCUCACUGGUCGAGUCGGCCUGCGCGGAAGAUGUAACGGGGCUAAACCAUGCACCGAAGCUGCGGCAGCGACACUGUGUGUUGUUGGGUAGGGGAGCGUUCUGUAAGCCUGUGAAGGUGUGCUGUGAGGCAUGCUGGAGGUAUCAGAAGUGCGAAUGCUGACAUAAGUAACGAUAAAGCGGGUGAAAAGCCCGCUCGCCGGAAGACCAAGGGUUCCUGUCCAACGUUAAUCGGGGCAGGGUGAGUCGACCCCUAAGGCGAGGCCGAAAGGCGUAGUCGAUGGGAAACAGGUUAAUAUUCCUGUACUUGGUGUUACUGCGAAGGGGGGACGGAGAAGGCUAUGUUGGCCGGGCGACGGUUGUCCCGGUUUAAGCGUGUAGGCUGGUUUUCCAGGCAAAUCCGGAAAAUCAAGGCUGAGGCGUGAUGACGAGGCACUACGGUGCUGAAGCAACAAAUGCCCUGCUUCCAGGAAAAGCCUCUAAGCAUCAGGUAACAUCAAAUCGUACCCCAAACCGACACAGGUGGUCAGGUAGAGAAUACCAAGGCGCUUGAGAGAACUCGGGUGAAGGAACUAGGCAAAAUGGUGCCGUAACUUCGGGAGAAGGCACGCUGAUAUGUAGGUGAAGUCCCUCGCGGAUGGAGCUGAAAUCAGUCGAAGAUACCAGCUGGCUGCAACUGUUUAUUAAAAACACAGCACUGUGCAAACACGAAAGUGGACGUAUACGGUGUGACGCCUGCCCGGUGCCGGAAGGUUAAUUGAUGGGGUCAGCGCAAGCGAAGCUCUUGAUCGAAGCCCCGGUAAACGGCGGCCGUAACUAUAACGGUCCUAAGGUAGCGAAAUUCCUUGUCGGGUAAGUUCCGACCUGCACGAAUGGCGUAAUGAUGGCCAGGCUGUCUCCACCCGAGACUCAGUGAAAUUGAACUCGCUGUGAAGAUGCAGUGUACCCGCGGCAAGACGGAAAGACCCCGUGAACCUUUACUAUAGCUUGACACUGAACAUUGAGCCUUGAUGUGUAGGAUAGGUGGGAGGCUUUGAAGUGUGGACGCCAGUCUGCAUGGAGCCGACCUUGAAAUACCACCCUUUAAUGUUUGAUGUUCUAACGUGGACCCGUGAUCCGGGUUGCGGACAGUGUCUGGUGGGUAGUUUGACUGGGGCGGUCUCCUCCUAAAGAGUAACGGAGGAGCACGAAGGUUGGCUAAUCCUGGUCGGACAUCAGGAGGUUAGUGCAAUGGCAUAAGCCAGCUUGACUGCGAGCGUGACGGCGCGAGCAGGUGCGAAAGCAGGUCAUAGUGAUCCGGUGGUUCUGAAUGGAAGGGCCAUCGCUCAACGGAUAAAAGGUACUCCGGGGAUAACAGGCUGAUACCGCCCAAGAGUUCAUAUCGACGGCGGUGUUUGGCACCUCGAUGUCGGCUCAUCACAUCCUGGGGCUGAAGUAGGUCCCAAGGGUAUGGCUGUUCGCCAUUUAAAGUGGUACGCGAGCUGGGUUUAGAACGUCGUGAGACAGUUCGGUCCCUAUCUGCCGUGGGCGCUGGAGAACUGAGGGGGGCUGCUCCUAGUACGAGAGGACCGGAGUGGACGCAUCACUGGUGUUCGGGUUGUCAUGCCAAUGGCACUGCCCGGUAGCUAAAUGCGGAAGAGAUAAGUGCUGAAAGCAUCUAAGCACGAAACUUGCCCCGAGAUGAGUUCUCCCUGACCCUUUAAGGGUCCUGAAGGAACGUUGAAGACGACGACGUUGAUAGGCCGGGUGUGUAAGCGCAGCGAUGCGUUGAGCUAACCGGUACUAAUGAACCGUGAGGCUUAACCUUACAACGCCGAAGGUGUUU
rnacentral:rRNA from 1 species